AGAGCGAACGCUGGCGGCAGGCCUAACACAUGCAAGUCGAGCGCCCCGCAAGGGGAGCGGCAGACGGGAGAGUAACACGUGGGAACGUACCCUUUGGUUCGGAACAACACAGGGAAACUUGUGCUAAUACCGGAUAAGCCCUUACGGGGAAAGAUUUAUUGCCAAAGGAUCGGCCCGCGUCUGAUUAGCUUGUUGGUGAGGUAACGGCUCACCAAGGCUACGAUCAGUAGCUGGUCUGAGAGGAUGAUCAGCCUCACUGGGACUGAGACACGGCCCAGACUCCUACGGGAGGCAGCAGUGGGGAAUAUUGGACAAUGGGCGCAAGCCUGAUCCAGCCAUGCCGCGUGGAUGAUGAAGGCCCUAGGGUUGUAAAGUCCUUUCGACGGGAAGAUAAUGACGGUACCCGUAGAAGAAGCCCCGGCUAACUUCGUGCCAGCAGCCGC
rnacentral:rRNA from 1 species